AGGAAUGCAUGAGGUAUGGGCCGGUGCUGCCUCAAACGGCACGACCUGAUUCUGGAGAAUUGGAGAAGGUUCUAGAUCCUGUGCAUGUGCAAGGCCGAGGUGCACCGAAGAAAAGGCUGAAGAAGAAGCGGAAAAGAUCAAACUCAAAAUGCGGCUAUUGCAGGUUGGAGGGUCACAAUCGGCGUAAAUGUGCCAAGUGGAUAGAGGACAACAAUCUGACAGGGCCUUGUUAGCUCUCUUCACUUUGUGCUUUCUCCUAGGAAUUGGUGAUCUUUCCAAUAAAGGAGGCUAUUAUGGGAGUCUACAUAUGCUUCUUCGAUAAGGGCAUGCUUAGCUAUUGCCUCACUUUGUCUAGGACCUCAUUUUCCACAGAUUAUUUGCAUAGUUUUUCUAGUAAUUUUUGUACUACAUUGUGUUGAGGUGGACAAAAAGAUAAUUCUUGUGCAGUAUAUGUAUACCUUCUUGUUCUACUGUUAACCUUUGGCUUACUUACUAAUGUAUUGCCGGUAUGUAGUAGAAAAGUUUGCAUGAACAAACUGGUAACUUUGCCUACUCCAAAAAAAUGUAGGCGACAUUGUAUUCAUUUUCCACGAUAAAGUGAAAUGCAUUGGUGUUGCCUCAACUAAAUUUACUCUAAAGUUUACAGCAGUGCGUCUGGUCUAAAGUUUAAAGUAGUGUGUCUGCUCUUGGUUUACAGUAGGAUGGUACAAACUAUGCUGAUACCAAUUCCCUUUUCAUACAUGACCAUUUGAUCUGCACGGCU